ACACUGUCCACCGUCGGUUAAUCAGCAGUCUUGAGAUGGAUUUCGUGGUGACCGUUUUCGGAGCGUUAUUGCUGAUGUUCUAUCGCUGCGCUGUGCUGCUGACCGUGUGCUGCACCUAGUGUUGGGCGUGUGAUGCAGCAAUAUUUAUUUCCCUAGAACGUAGUGUGUCGCUACAAGGCCUACAAGAGUACUUAACAAUGGUGCAAAUGCAAAACACCAGCUGAGGAGACAUGGAUGGAACAGUCACAAUAGAAUAACAUCGGAAUUUAAGCAAGCGACAUGAUGUAUAAGAAAUAAAUGAAUCUACAUCUACCUGAAUCAAUCAACACAACGUAAAGAAUUUCAUUCAGUA